GCUUGUAAGAUACAGAUUAUGACGCGUCUUAAAGAGAAGAACGCCGUCAGCCGAUUGUCAACAACAGUACUUGUUUCAGUUAAUUUAACAAGACAAACAAUACCAAUGAGCUAUGAAUCAAUGAAUACUCGAGGAUGUACUACAGAAUUAGCUCCCCAGAUGUAAGUGGAAGUGAAGUUAUACAUGUUAUAUGUUUCGAUGAAAUGAAUGACUUGAUUAGAUAUACAUGUAGUGGAGACCCUAUAGAUACAGUACAUGUAACUGGAACUGUAGGAAGUAUUCAAAGAGUCUGAUUGCUAAGUAUGCAUUACAGGAUUUUAUCAUUGGAGCAACAUCUUAGGAGGAGAAGUGCAAAUGUAUGAAGGAAUCCUUAGGUACAAAUAGCAAUUAUAUGCAGAAGAGGACUCUUAAACAUUAUUAACAGACAUGUAGUCAUAGUAGUGGUGUUUUCAAGAAACGUAAACCAACUGGAAUUAACAAUUGUGUAUAUUUUUUCAACCACAAGUACUUUCAGAAUAUAAUAAAAUUCAAAUUCAAAUUAUUGUGUCAACAUACAAGUUACAGUAAAAAAAUGAAAAUG